UACGUAGGCAGCGAGCGUUGUUCGGAAUCACUGGGCUUAAAGGGCGCGUAGGCGGUCCGAUAAGUCAGGGGUGAAAUCCUGCAGCUUAACUGCAUAAGUGCCUUUGAUACUGUCGGUCUUGAGGGAGAUAGGGGUGUGCGGAACUCACAGUGGAGCGGUGAGAUGCGUUGAUAUUGUGAGGAACGCCGGAGGCGAAAGCGGCGCACUGGAUCUCUUCUGACGCUGAGGCGCGAAAGCUAGGGGAGCAAACGGGG
rnacentral:rRNA from 1 species